GUGAAUAUGAGCAUUGUUGCACAGUAGCAGGUUGGGUCGGUGGAGCCGACGGGCUUGGAGAUCAAGGACGUUUUCGUGGCAGGAAAGGUGACAGGUGGCUCUGGAGUGUAGCAUUACUAGUUUGACCAUCUUCAUAAAACACAACACUCCUAUUCAUGGAUCUGCACAUCCAUCCUCAACCUGAUCUUUCAUAUGGUGUCAAGACCCCUCAGAGAGUGAAGAGAGUGGGCAUCAAACUGGCAUGGAGAUGGCUAAAGUGAAGUUUAAUUUGUUGAAUCCAAAAGACCUUACUCAGUUUGUCAGACCAGUGACAACAAAAUGAUUCUAUAUCUGCCCCAGUGCUAAAAUUGUUUAACAGCUUUUCAUUGGUCAUUUGUUUUUAUUUAUUUUUACUUCGUUUUUUUACUUACUUAUAGUUGUAAUAUUAACUUAUAGUUAAUGUCAAAUGAUUUAAUGUUUAUGAUAUUUAUAUAAAUAAUAUUACUACUAAUUAACUUU